GCCAGCAGCUAGCUCUCUGCAACUCUCACAUGGUCGCCCAUUGAAGCUAAGCAGGGUUGCGCCUGGUCAGUACCUGGAUGGGAGACCACAUGGGAAAGCUAGGUUGCUGCCGAAA
rnacentral:rRNA from 1 species